GUUAAAGUUUAGUCGGCAUGAUAGAAUAUAAGUUAAAAGUUCAUAAACAAGCUAAGGUUAAAAGGUUAAAAACAUAUUUUAUUUACAUUGACCUUUAGUGUUGUACACUGCCAUCUACUGGUCAGUUUUAAUCCAGCAGUCAAGCAGACACAUUUUUCAGUUGAGCAGCUAAACAAGUCAGUGCUGGAGUGUAUUCCUGCUGGGUGUUUUUUCUACACGCUUCUGCCUUGGAGACUAUUUGUCUGUAAGUACAAUGUCUUUAAGUAGAGGUAUGUUAAGGAUGUUUUGUGUUAUUAGUAGGUUUCAGACAUUUUCUGUCGUUUUAGUUUUGAACAUGUUUUGCUAGUAGUAAGCUAACAUUCGGUGUGACAUAGACAUGUGUGUGGACAUACAUAAUGCUGUAUAUAUUGUUGUUUAUGUGCUAAUAUGUGUUCACAUUUCUGUAAUGUUUCAGUUUUACAUAAAAAGAACAAAGGAGAUUCAGAGAAAAGUAAACUACAAGAAAAGUCAAGCCUUGUCUGUUUAUUGGAGGAUCUCUCAGUGUUAACUGGCUGUCUAGCUUUGCAACAAGAAACGCGCUGCAAGGGCAGUACAGUAAAAAGACAAGAGCACGGCGGGCUCAAGCACCAGAAAACAACACUCAGGCAACAUGAGUCUACGUUCAGGGAGAAGUUACCUGAAGGACUACACCACAACGCAGCAAGAUGAAGCUAGUGGAGGGAAAGAAGCAGAUGUUGUAGAUCAAGCAACGGAGAGGCAUGAGCAGGCUCGAGCAUUCGAUGACAAGUCACAGUCAUCCAGAGCAUCCACCAGACACUCUCACCUAUCAUCAUCAACAGCUUCUUCUGCCACAAAAGCCUAUGCCAAGGCAAAAGCCGCACGGGCUCAACUCGCUUAUGCAGCGAAAGAAGCUGACAUUAUGAAGCAAAAAGCAGACUUAGAAGCAUCCAUCUUAAAACAAAAGGCUGAUUAUGAUGCAAGUCUCCAUCUGCUCCAGUGUGAAAGAGUUGCUGCUGCAGCUGAAGCUGAGGCUACAGCAUAUGAGGAAGUUGAAAGUGGGGAGCUUCGCAAAGAAUUCCUUGUUCAAGAAAAGCCCCUCAGCUCAAUCGAACGCACUAGUGAGUACAUCCAACAGCAGUCUCAGUUGUUUAUGGAGCUGCCCUCAAAACAUGAAGCUGUGGAUUCGCUAGGUAAACCAAUAAACAAAACAGAAACACAUCAUGCUAAACCAGAAGUUGGACAUGAUAACCAAAGUAAAACACAGUGGGCUUAUAAAGACAUAAAAGAAGAGCAACCAACAACACAGCACAUAUCCAAUCCUGAAAGAGAACGUAUACCUGAAUCUCAAGGCACACAAGACCUCGCAAGAUAUCUCAUCCGAAGAGAAAUGGUGAGUGGUGGUCUUCUGCAAUUUGAUGACAAACCCGAAAAUUAUUGGUCAUGGAAAGCCUCCUUUCUUAGCGCUACCAAGGACUUGAAUCUCUCACCCAGGGAAGAACUGGACCUGAUGACAAAGUGGCUUGGAGCCGAAUCGUCAGAACAGGCAAAGAGAAUUCGUGCAGUACAUGUACUCAAUCCCGCAGUAGGUGUCAACAUGGUCUGGCAACGUCUCGAAGAGUGUUAUGGGACACCAGAGGUCAUAGAAGACGCACUGCUUCGAAAGAUAGAAAACUUCCCAAGACUGACCAAUAAAGAUAAUAUCAAGCUAAGAGAACUGGGUGACAUUCUCCUGGAACUGGAGUGUGCUAAGGAAGAUGGUGUUCUUCAAGGGCUUUCAUAUCUGGACACGGCUCGUGGGGUAAAACAAAUUGUGGAAAAACUUCCCUACAACCUCCAAGAAAAAUGGACAAUCUUCGGAAGCAAGUACAAGGAAGAUUAUGCAGUAGCUUUUCCUCCCUUUACUGUCUUCUCCAAAUUUGUCCGACAGCAGGCAAAGAUAAAAAAUGACCCAAGCUUCAUUUUAUCCACCUCCAGUAGCCAUGCUAGCUCUGCAGCAGAAAAACCUGUGAAGAGUAGUAGGAAAACUGUCAUCACUACACACAAAACAGACAUCCCUGCAAAUUUCACAGACAGCCAGAACAGUCCUGGUUUCAAGAAGUUGGAAGAACCAGACCGUCAAUGCCCAAUACACAAGAAGCCCCACCCUUUGAAAAAAUGUAAGCUCUUUAGAGACAAAUCACUAGAGGAGCGCAAAACAUACCUGAGAGAGAAUCGCAUCUGCUAUAGAUGUUGUGGGUCUACUCAACAUAUGGCAAAGGACUGCAAAAUAACAGUGAAGUGCCUUGAAUGCAACAGUGACAGGCACAUUGCAGCUCUGCAUCCAGGCCCACCUCCUGUGACCACUCAGAGCGUUACAACUGACAACGAUGACAGCGGGGAGCAAAGUGAAAGUUCAUCUUCUGCAGUCACCUCCAAGUGCACAGAGAUUUGUGGUAAUGCAGAAAGUGCACGCUCAUGUUCAAAAAUAUGCCUGGUGAAAGCAUAUCCUGCAGGAAAAAGGGAGAAAGCAAUCAGAAUGUAUGCAGUGUUGGAUGAACAGAGCAACAAGUCCCUCGCCAAGACAGAGUUCUUCGACAUCUUUGAAAUCAAAACUACUUCCUCAGCUUAUACCAUGAAAACCUGUUCCGGGAAACUUGAGACCUCAGGUAGAAGAGCAGUCAAUUUCAUCAUUGAGUCCAUGGAUGGAAAAUUACAGCUUCCUUUACCCACCUUGAUUGAGUGCGACAUGGUGCCGGAUGACAGGACAGAAAUUCCCACUGCAGAGAUUGCACUCCAUCAUCCCCACCUACAGCGAGUUGCUGACAAGAUCCAACCUGUAGAUAAAGAUGCACCAAUCCUCUUGCUUUUAGGAAGAGACAUCAUCAGGGUGCACAAGGUGCGUGAGCAAAUCAACGGCCCACACAAUGCUCCUUAUGCGCAGAGGCUAGACCUAGGCUGGGUCAUUGUGGGAGAAGCGUGCCUGGGGACAGUUCAUAAACCAUCUGAGGUGAAUGUCUAUAAAACAAACACACUUCAAAAUGGUCGCACAUCUUUUCUCAAACCAUGUCCAAACAGGAUACAUGUGAAAGACGACUACAGUAGCAUGGCACAGCAAUACAGUCCUACCUUCCUCACAUGUGAAGGAAACACAAGUCUCAGAGUGAAUUCUGAAAACCUAGGGCAUUCAGUGUUCGACAGGUGCAAGGAUGAUGACAGACCAGCACUCUCCAUAGACGACAGAGUUUUCCUGGCCAUCAUGGAUGCAGAGGUAACCCAGAAUAAAGAAAACAGCUGGGUGGCACCUUUACCAUUCCGCACACCUAGACGACGUCUUCCAAGCAACAGGGAACAAGCAUUGAAGCGUCUCUGCUCACUACGGAAAACUUUGGAGAAAAGGCCAAAAAUGAAAGAAGAUUAUGUCAACUUCAUGCAGAAAAUGAUAGACAACGAUCAAGCGGAGCCUGCUCCACCUCUAGAUGAAGGUAAAGAACACUGGUAUCUGCCAUCAUUUGGCGUUUAUCACCCACAAAAGCCAGACCAAAUACGUGUUGUGUUCGAUUCAAGUGCUGAAUGUGACGGAACAUCACUCAAUGAUGUGCUCCUGAGCGGACCGGACUUGAAUAAUUCCCUGUUGGGAGUCCUUCUGCGCUUCCGAAAGGAGCCCAUAGCCCUUACAGCAGAUGUGCAGCAAAUGUUUUAUUGCUUCGUUGUCCGAGAAGAUCACAGAGAUUUUCUCAGGUAUCUCUGGUAUGAAGAUAACGACAUCAACAAGAAUGUGGUUGAGUACAGAAUGAAAGUUCAUGUAUUCGGAAACAGCCCUUCACCUGCUGUAGCUAUUUACUGUAUGAGACGAGCAGCUGAGAGUGGUGAGAAAGAACAUGGUUCUGAGGCAAGACAGUUUGUUGAGAGACAGUUUUACGUCGAUGAUGGCCUCACCUCAGUAGCCACACCAGAAGAGGCAAUAGAUCUUCUCACACGAACCAGGAAGAUGCUGGCGGAAUCCAACCUGCGACUGCAUAAAGUGGCAUCUAAUAGUUGUCAAGUAAUGGAAGCCUUCCCAGCAGAAGAUCGUGCCACGGAUCUGAAGGAUCUGGAUUUGGGAAUGGAUCCUCUUCCUCUUCAGAGGAGCCUGGGGCUCUCCUGGAACCUAGAAACCGACAGCUUCACUUACCUGGUGUCCUGCGAACAGAAACCAUUCACACGAAGGGGUGUACUGUCAACAGUCAACAGCUUGUAUGACCCCUUAGGCCUUGUAGCUCCUAUAGCGAUGCAAGGAAAGGCAUUAAUGCGAGAGCUGACAGCCGAACAAAGUGAAUGGGAUGCUCCUCUUCUUCCAGAAAAGGAAUGUGAGUGGAACCUGUGGAAAGAAUCUUUAAAGGCUCUUGAAGACCUUCACAUACAGAGGUGCUACAUUUCAGUCUCACUGUCUUCAACUCAGAGAAAAGAACUGUGCAUCUUUUCAGAUGCUUCCACAGUGGCUAUAGGAGCUGUGGCCUACUUGAGAGCUGUUGACAUUCAAGGACAAUACCAUGUUGGCUUUGUCAUGGGGAAGUCAAAAUUGGCCCCUCGCCCAGCUCAUACCAUUCCACGUCUGGAACUCUGUGCAGCAGUUCUGGCGGUCGAGUUGUAUGAGCUGAUAAGUGAGGAGAUUGACACCACAAUAGAUGCUGUUAAGUUCUUCACAGACAGUAAGAUUGUGCUUGGAUAUAUCCAUAACUCCACAAGAAGGUUUUAUGUGUAUGUCUCCAACCGGAUAAAUCGGAUCAGAAGAUCAACACACCCUAACCAGUGGAACUAUGUUCCAACAGACUCAAACCCUGCAGACCAUGCAACCAGGUUCAUACCAGCAGCCCAGCUCCAACAUAGCAAUUGGUUCUCAGGUCCAACCUUCCUGUAUCAGGACAAAGCAGCAGAGACACCUGAAUCCAACAUCUUCACACUUGUUGAGCCUGAAGCAGAUGAGGAGAUUCGUCCUGAAGUUGUAACUCUGGCAACUAAGACAUCAGAGUCGCACUUGGGCUCACAACGCUGGGAGCGAUUCUCAAGCUGGAGAAAACUCUGUAGAACUGUAGCCAGGCUAAUUCAUGUCGCUGCAUCCUUCAAGGAAAAGUCAACCCAUACAGACAGGAAAGGAUGGAAAUCUUUCAAAGAAACACCUAACAUAAAUGAGCUCUCACAAGCCAAAGCUGUGAUCAUCCAUUCUGUCCAGCAAAAUGUCUUCAAGGAGGAAUUGAACUGUGUCAAAAACGGACAUACACGUCUCAAGAACAACACACUCAAGAAGCUCAAUCCAGUUGUGGAUGAAGAUGGUCUGCUUCGCGUCGGAGGUCGUCUUUCUCUGUCUGAUGUGUCAAAGGAAGAAAAACACCCACUGAUCAUCCCACACAAUGAUCAUAUUGCCACGCUGCUUGUGAGACACUUUCAUGAACAAGUGGCACACCAAGGGCGACACAUCACAGAAGGGGCUAUCCGAGCAGCUGGAUACUGGAUAAUUGGGGGUAAGCGUCUGGUAUCCUCUGUUAUCCACAAGUGUAUAACCUGCCGAAAACUCAGAGGGAAAUUGGAGCAUCAGAAGAUGGCAGAUUUGCCUGCUGACAGGCUCACUCCAGAACCUCCAUUCACCAGUGUUGGUCUAGAUGUUUUCGGGCCAUGGCCUAUCAUGACACGGCGCACAAGAGGAGGAAGUGCUGACAGCAAACGCUGGGCCAUACUCUUUACGUGCAUGUCGUCCAGAGCAGUUCAUAUAGAGCUCAUAGAAACCAUGUCAACAGACAGCUUUAUCAAUGCUCUAAGGAGAUUUUUCUCUAUCCGUGGCCCAGCAAAGCUUCUGCGAUCGGACAGAGGGACGAACUUUGUGGGAGCUUGUAAGGAGUUGCAUAUAAACACAGAUGACACAGCAGUCAGGAACUAUCUCCAGGAGAAAGGAUGUUCUUGGGUGUUUAAUCCUCCUCAUGCUUCCCACAUGGGUGGCUCCUGGGAAAGGCUCAUCGGAGUUGCCAGGCGCAUUCUGGAUGCAUUGCUGCUUCAGAGAGGGCCGACACGUCUCACACAUGAAGUACUGAGCACUCUCAUGGCAGAGGUAAUGGCAAUUAUAAAUGCAAGACCCAUUGUGCCCAUAUCCACUGACCCAGAUAUGCCUGCAGUUCUCACACCAGCGAUGAUCCUUACACAGAAGGCGAGUGCACUUUCAGCCCCCUCUGGAAGUUUUGAUACAGCGCAGUUAUAUGGGAAACAGUGGAAGCAAGUUCAGUGUCUCGCUGACACUUUCUGGAAGAGAUGGAGAGGAGAGUACCUGUCAUCUCUACAGGGCCGCAGGAAAUGGACUAAAGAUAAGCCAAAUGUUAAAGUAGGAGAUGUUGUCUUACUGAAAGACAGUCAGGCCCACAGAAAUGAAUGGCCAAUAGGACUGGUCAUAAAGACUUUGCCAAGCAAUGACGAAAGGGUCCGUAAGGUGGAGGUGCGGACUGUGAAGGAUGGGACGGCCAAGGUCUUUCUGAGACCGGUUACAGAGACUGUAGUUCUUCUUUCAGAGACUGAGUGACUCUAAAAUAUGCUAUGGGCUUUAUUCUUUAAGUUUGUUGUAUGUAUAGUGAUAUAAGAUUAUUAUAUCAAGCGGGGAGUGUGCUGCCGUUAAAGUUUAGUCGGCAUGAUAGAAUAUAAGUUAAAAGUUCAUAAACAAGCUAAGGUUAAAAGGUUAAAAACAUAUUUUAUUUACAUUGACCUUUAGUGUUGUACACUGCCAUCUACUGGUCAGUUUUAAUCCAGCAGUCAAGCAGACACAUUUUUCAGUUGAGCAGCUAAACAAGUCAGUGCUGGAGUGUAUUCCUGCUGGGUGUUUUUUCUACACGCUUCUGCCUUGGAGACUAUUUGUCUUUUUACAUAAAAAGAACAAAGGAGAUUCAGAGAAAAGUAAACUACAAGAAAAGUCAAGCCUUGUCUGUUUAUUGGAGGAUCUCUCAGUGUUAACUGGCUGUCUAGCUUUGCAACAAGAAACGCG